CAAGGAAAUAUAUCCAUAUAUAACAGUUACUGGUACUGUAUGAAUGCAGUGAAAGGAUCCAGAUGAACAGAUGAAGAGAUUAAGUACAAUGUACAUCAAUUACUUGGAUGAAGAGAAUCUGCAACAUGGGGAAAUAAUGUUCCUAUAGAAAAGUCAAAGAAUGUAUACAUGUGAGAUUCUGAAGUAGCCGUACAUGAUGAGUAGGAAUUUGAAGUGAAUUAUGGGAAAAGUGAAAUGGUAAAAAAGAAACUGCUAGCGCUUCUGUGCAGACUACCAUCAAUCAACAUGAUCAACAAAAUCAAGUAAUCCUUCUGAAGAUGGAGUAGUACACAAGCACAAUUUGUUAAAGAAAGAAAAGUCAAUGGAAUGAAAGCCAAAGAAAAGGUGAAGUGAAUUGUCACUCAUUAUAUUUUAAAUUUAAUGUGGACAUGGUCAUUAUUUUAGUUAUGUCAUAACCUUCUUAUCAAUUUUAAGCAGUGCAGACAGAUGCAUUUCUUAUUGCUUUGAAUAGAAUAAAUUAUCAAAAAAGUUUGUAUUUGUUUUUUGAUAUAGAAUUUAUAUUAAAAAAAAAAUUAUCAAUUACUGCAGUUUUGAAUUUCAGUACACUAGAAAUUUUUCUGCCCUGCCAUGAAUAUGGCUGGGGCAUAUAGAGUUUGUCAUGUCCGUCUUCCAUCCUUUCAACUUUCUGUCUGUCCUUCCAUUCCGCUUUGCUUUUAGCUCAGUUCAAAACUAAGUUUCAAAGAAACUAUUCAAGAUAUUUUUAUCAAUCUUCAUAUGCUGAUACAUAUUGAUAAGAGGUAUUCAGUUUCAUCAACGUACCUUGACCUUUCCUUUAACUUUGACCUCACUUUUCUUAAAUUAGUGUUUAGCUCAGUUUUAAAGAAACCAUUCAAGAUAGUGUAAUCAAACUUCAUAUGCUGAUACAUACUGAAUCAACAUUUUUUUACCUUGACCUUUCCUUUGACCUUGACCGUACUUAUCUUAAAUAAGUGUUUAGCUCAGUUUUAAAGAAACCAUUCAGGAUAGCGUAAUCAAACUUCACUUGCUGAUACAUACUGAUGAGAGCUAUUCAACUGCAUCAACAUUUUUUGAUCUUGAUUUUUCCUUUGACCUUCACCUCACUUUUUCUAAAUUAGUGUCAAACUUCAUAUUCUGAUACAGACUGAUGUAAGGUAUUUGACUGUAUCAACAUUUUUGACCUUGACAUUUCAUUUGACCUUGACUUCAUUUUUCUUGAAAUGGUGAUUAGCUCAGUGUUAAAUAAACAGUUUCCAUUCAAAAUAUUUUUAUCAAACUUAUUUUGCUUAUGCGUAUUAGUGAGAACUGUUCAACUGCAUCAAAAAUGUAUGACCUUGAACUUUCCUGUGACCUGGACCUCACUUUUCUUAAAUUUGCAUUUUGCUUAGUUUUAA